rnacentral:rRNA from 1 species
CCUACGGGUGGCAGCAGUGAGGAAUAUUGGUCAAUGGGCGAGAGCCUGAACCAGCCAAGUCGCGUGAAGGAUGACGGCCCUACGGGUUGUAAACUUCUUUUGUCAGGGAGCAAUUGGGUCCACGCGUGGGCUUAGCGAGAGUACCUGAAGAAAAAGCAUCGGCUAACUCCGUGCCAGCAGCCGCGGUAAUACGGAGGAUGCGAGCGUUAUCCUGAUUUAUUGGGUUUAAAGGGUCCGUAGGAGGAAGAUCAAGUCAGCGGUAAAGUUUCGGGGCUAAACCCCGUCGUGCCGUUGAAAGUGAUGUUCGUGAGUGGACGAGAAGUAUGCGGAAUGCGUGGUGUAGCGGGGAAAUGCAUAGAUAUCACGCAGAACUCCGAUUGCGAAGGCAGCAUACCGGCGCCCAACGGACGCUGAAGCACGAAAGCGUGGGGAUCGAACAGGAUUAGAUACCCCUGUAGUC